UUGUAAAACUUUGUUGUUAGGGAAGAACAAGUGCUAGUUGAAUAAGCUGGCACCUUGACGGUACCUAACCAGAAAGCCACGGCUAACUACGUGCCAGCAGCCGCGGUAAUACGUAGGUGGCAAGCGUUAUCCGGAAUUAUUGGGCGUAAAGCGCGCGCAGGUGGUUUCUUAAGUCUGAUGUGAAAGCCCACGGCUCAACCGUGGAGGGUCAUUGGAAACUGGGAGACUUGAGUGCAGAAGAGGAAAGUGGAAUUCCAUGUGUAGCGGUGAAAUGCGUAGAGAUAUGGAGGAACACCAGUGGCGAAGGCGACUUUCUGGUCUGUAACUGACACUGAGGCGCGAAAGCGUGGGGAGCAAACAGGAUUAGAUACCCUGGUAGUCCACGCCGUAAACGAUGAGUGCUAAGUGUUAGAGGGUUUCCGCCCUUUAGUGCUGCAAGUUAACGCAUU
rnacentral:rRNA from 1 species